rnacentral:rRNA from 1 species
UACGUAGGGGGCAAGCGUUAUCCGGAUUUACUGGGUGUAAAGGGAGCGUAGACGGCAUGGCAAGUCAGAUGUGAAAGCCCGGGGCUCAACCCCGGGACUGCAUUUGAAACUGUCAGGCUAGAGUGCAGGAGAGGUAAGUGGAAUUCCUAGUGUAGCGGUGAAAUGCGUAGAUAUUAGGAGGAACACCAGUGGCGAAGGCGACUUACUGGACUGUAACUGACGUUGAGGCUCGAAAGCGUGGGGAGCAAACAGG